AUCCACCUGAUGAGUUUCAGAUAGGACGAAACGUGCGUCCUGAAU
rfam:Schistosoma mattheei strain Denwood, Zambia genome assembly, scaffold: SMTD_scaffold0002991